GUAUACUGUUGUAGUAUUACUGGUGAAUAUAUCUGGACGUUCACUGACCAAUCUCUUGAUGGUCCCAGGGGAAUAUCAGUUGACGGUGAUCAGAACGUGUUUGUUGUAGGGAGAGAUUAUUACAACCUGAUGAUGAUACAACAUGAUGGAAAAGUCAGUUAAUUGUUACUUACAAAAUCCGACGGUCUGGACAAUCCAGUCCCCGUACAUUACAAUAG
rnacentral:lncRNA from 1 species